rnacentral:lncRNA from 1 species
AACUUAAUAAUGUGUCACAGAAUACUUAUAUUUGAGUCGUUUGUAUUAAAGUAGUCAAAAAUUACAUCAUUAAUAUAUCAAUCAUCCAUGGAAUAUUCAAUUAUUGCGCUAUCCUCAUCCCAAACAGUACUGUAGAUUCUUCAUUUAAAAUGGUUCAUCAUAUUUUGUUGGUUUUAAUUUGUACAAUUUGCUUAUACAAUCUACAUCUAGUACAAACGUAUUUCCGGAAAAUUCAAGGAAAAUGGUCCAUAGGGAAGUCAAUCACUCAAACCAAACACCUUCAACCUGGCUCUAAACCUGGCACAGGCUUUGAUGAGGAACUCAUUGUCCAUAGUGGGCACUGCCUCGAGAAUUGAAGCCCACAAAGAAGUCCUAAUUUUCCCUCAAGGAUAUUUUGCCUUAAUAUGUUUAAAUAAAUGAGAUUUAUACGUCGUUAUUGUUUAUUUUUGGUUAAAAUUCGUAAUAUUUAUUAAUAUGAAAUGCAUUAAA